ensembl:lncRNA
GUAUCGCUGUAUGAAGUGUGUGAACCUUCAUCUGUGCCAAACCUGCUUCCUGACAGAGAGACACACGAGAAAACACAAGAGCUCCCACCCAGUGCUGGAGCACUGCACUCAGGUACACACACACACACACACACACACACACACACACACACACACACACACUUGUGAUUGACGGUUGUGUUUCGUCUCCAGUCAUCCUGGAAAGAAUCCCUAGCCUCAUUAGCAUACAGCGCCCGCCACGCCUUGUUACCACGGCAAUACACACACAGGGUGGCAGAGAGGAGAAGGGGCCUAAUCAGGGCGGAGUCACGAGGGGAGCCGCAGACGAGGUAGACCAAUCAGAGAUGGACCUGAAAAACUUUUGUUUUAGUUUAAAGAAAAACGUUUGUUUUAGUUUAAAUAAAGAGUAAUACAUGUUUCCAUUGUAUUUUCUGUGUUUACAGCUUCACUACCCCUGACCCUUCACCUCAGUCUGCCGCUGAGGACACACCCCCUAACGACAGAGCCCCUCCCACUAAUCCUCUCCAACUGCUGGCCACACCCCCAGCUGUUUGGACCAGGAAGGCAUCUAAAGCCCUGCAAACUGAGGAAGAGCAGGAGGAAGCACAGCCACAGGUGACCUUUCACCUCUACCCCUCUCCCUUCACACCUCACCUCUCAGCCCAGUGGAUUUUUAGUUUGGUUCAUAUUUAUGCUAAAUGAAUCUUCAGAAGAUUAUUGAUGCGCUCCACUAGAUCCUCUAUUGAUUAAUGUCUGUUGUUUCUGUCCCCAGAGGAUAGACUCUGUCCUCAUUAAGGACAACAGGGACCUGCAGAGGGACAAACGGUGAGCCUCAAUCACUGUAGCACUCUAACCUCCUAACCUAGCACCUAACCUAUAGUCUGGGUGAUGCUCAUUGUGUGUGUGUGUGUGUGUGUGUGUGUGUGUGUGUGUGUGUGUGUGUGUGUGUGUGUGUGUGUGUGUGUGUGUGUGUGUGUGUGUGUGUGUGUGUGUGUGCGUGCGUGUGUGUGCAGGCUGCUGGAGAGGGAGCUGCAGGUAUGGAGGGUAACGGUUCAGUCGGAGCAGGGCUCGCUGGAGGACCGCUGCUCUGAGAUGGAGGCCAACAUGGACACUCUGAGACAACACAACCUCAGACUGCAGGACAUGCUCUCACAGGCUCUUAGCAUGUCAGGGACACAUGCUGACGUCAUGCCUCAUGCUAAUGUCAUCCCACAUGCUGACGUCAUGCCUCAUGCUAAUGUCAUCCCACAUGCUGACGUCAUGCCUCAUGCUAAUGUCAUCCCACAUGCUGACGUCAUCCCUCAUGCUAAUGUCAUCCCACAUGCUGACGUCAUGCCUCAUGCUAAUGUCAUCCCACAUGCUGACGUCAUGCCUCAUGCUAAUGUCAUCCCACAUGCUGACGUCAUGCCUCAUGCUAAUGUCAUCCCACAUGCUGACGUCAUGCCUCAUGCUAAUGUCAUCCCACAUGCUGACGUCAUGCCUCAUGCUAAUGUCAUCCCACAUGCUGACGUCAUGCCUCAUGCUAAUGUCAUCCCACAUGCUGACGUCAUGCCUCAUGCUAAUGUCAUCCCACAUGCUGACGUCAUCCCACAUGCUAAUGUCAUCCCACAUGCUAAAUACAGGCCAGAGAGAGACAUAGCCUGUCCUGUAGAGUCCCAGAGCUCUGCAUCUUCCUCUGGAUCCAGAGAAAGAGAGAGAGAAGAGGAGGAGGAGGAGAGGGAAGAGGAGGGAAGAGGAGGCGAGGGUAGAGGAGGAAGAAUGUUACACAGCAAAGAUGCAGAGGAAUGA